UACAGAGGGUGCGAGCGUUAAUCGGAAUUACUGGGCGUAAAGCGUGCGUAGACGGUAGCGUAAGUCAGAUGUGAAAGCCCCGGGCUCAACCUGGGAACUGCAUUUGAGACUGCUCUGCUCGGGUGCGGAAGAGGGAAGCGGAAUUUCCGGUGUAGCGGUGAAAUGCGUAGAUAUCGGGAGGAACACCAGUGGCGAAGGCGGCUCUCUGGGACGGUACUGACGCUGAGACGCGAAAGCGUGGGGAGCGAACAGG
rnacentral:rRNA from 1 species